UACGUAGGGGGCAAGCGUUGUCCGGAUUUAUUGGGCGUAAAGAGCGUGUAGGCGGCCUGAAAGGUCAGCUGUGAAAACUCGAGGCUCAACCUCGAGACGUCGGUUGAAACCAUCUGGCUAGAGUCCGGAAGAGGAGUGUGGAAUUCCCGGUGUAGCGGUGAAAUGCGCAGAUAUCAGGAGGAACACCAAUGGCGAAGGCAGCUCGCUGGGACGGUACUGACGCUGAGACGCGAAAGCGUGGGGAGCAAACAGG
rnacentral:rRNA from 1 species